rnacentral:lncRNA from 1 species
GGCGACGUAAAAGGCUGAGACUGAGCUGGGACUGGCAACGGGCGACGGCAGUCGGCAGAUGGGGACUGGCGACGGGCGACGGGCGAUGGCGUGGUCGAGCGGUCGAGUCGUCGACAAGCAACGGGCAACGCAACGGCUAUUUCCUCCCCGGCUCCCCCCUUCUCUCCCUCCUUCUUUGCCUUUUUAAUGCCAGAACCUUCUCCGGUUCUUCAUUCUUGGCACUCGGCAGUCGGCAGUCGGCAGAAUCGGCUUGCAAAGUUGCAGAGCGGCGAGCGCAAAACCCUCUCUAGCUCUCCUCGUCGACGUCGCCGUCCUCGGCUCCGAGCUCCGGCCUCCGACUCCGAGCUCCGAGCUCC